rnacentral:rRNA from 1 species
UCAGAUUGAACGCUGGCGGCAGGCCUAACACAUGCAAGUCGAGCGGUAACAUUUCUAGCUUGCUAGAAGAUGACGAGCGGCGGACGGGUGAGUAAUGCUUGGGAACAUGCCUUUAGGUGGGGGACAACAGUUGGAAACGACUGCUAAUACCGCAUAAUGUCUACGGACCAAAGUGGGGGACCUUCGGGCCUCACGCCUAAAGAUUGGCCCAAGUGGGAUUAGCUAGUUGGUGAGGUAAUGGCUCACCAAGGCGACGAUCCCUAGCUGGUUUGAGAGGAUGAUCAGCCACACUGGGACUGAGACACGGCCCAGACUCCUACGGGAGGCAGCAGUGGGGAAUAUUGCACAAUGGGCGCAAGCCUGAUGCAGCCAUGCCGCGUGUGUGAAGAAGGCCUUCGGGUUGUAAAGCACUUUCAGUAAGGAGGAAAGGUUGGAUGUUAAUAGCAUUCAGCUGUGACGUAC